GACGAACGCUGGCGGCGUGCUUAACACAUGCAAGUCGAACGAAGAGCGAUGGAAGCUUGCUUCUAUCAAUCUUAGUGGCGAACGGGUGAGUAACGCGUAAUCAACCUGCCCUUCAGAGGGGGACAACAGUUGGAAACGACUGCUAAUACCGCAUACGAUCUAAUCUCGGCAUCGAGGAUAGAUGAAAGGUGGCGUCUACAUGUAAGCUAUGACUGAAGGAGGGGAUUGCGUCUGCUUAGCUAGUUGGAGGGGUAACGGCCCACCAAGGCGAUGAUCAGUAGCCGGGCUUGAGGGAUGAACGGCCAACAUGGGACUGGGAAACCGCCCAAACUCCUAAGGGGGGCAGCAGUGGGGAAUCUUCCGCAAUGGACGAAAGUCUGACGGAGCAACGCCGCGUUAGUGCAGACGGCCUUCGGGUUGUAAAGCUCUGUUAAUCGGGACGAAAGGCAUUCUUGCGAAUAGUGAGAAGGAUUGACGGUACCGGAAUAGAAAGCCACGGCUAACUACGUG
rnacentral:rRNA from 1 species